rnacentral:rRNA from 1 species
CGCGUAGGCGGUCUCUAAAGUCAGAUGUGAAAGCCCGGGGCUUAACCCCGGAAGUGCAUUUGAAACUCAGGGACUUGAGUAUGGGAGAGGGAAGUGGAAUUCCUGGUGUAGCGGUGAAAUGCGUAGAUAUCAGGAGGAACACCAGUGGCGAAGGCGACUUCCUGGACCAAUACUGACGCUGAGGCGCGAAGGCGUGGGGAGCAAACAGGAUUAGAUACCCUGGUAGUC